UGCCUAAACCAGCUAAUCCUGGCAUGGCAUCAAAUCCGUUGAAGAUAAAAACCCAUCAUCAGGGUUCCUUCAACGGUCGUGUCGGGAAACUGGCACGUUCUGGCCGAAAGGCUAGA
rnacentral:sRNA from 1 species